rnacentral:rRNA from 1 species
UACGUAGGGUGCAAGCGUUAAUCGGAAUUACUGGGCGUAAAGCGUGCGCAGGCGGUUUUGUAAGUCUGUCGUGAAAUCCCCGGGCUCAACCUGGGAAUUGCGAUGGAGACUGCAAGGCUAGAAUCUGGCAGAGGGGGGUAGAAUUCCACGUGUGAGCAGUGAAAUGCGUAGAGAUGUGGAGGAACACCGAUGGCGAAGGCAGCCCCCUGGGUCAAGAU